rnacentral:rRNA from 1 species
UACAGAGGGUGCGAGCGUUAAUCGGAAUUACUGGGCGUAAAGCGUGCGUAGACGGUUAUUUAAGUCGGGUGUGAAAGCCCCGGGCUCAACCUGGGAAUUGCAUUCGAGACUGAAUAGCUAGGGUACGGUAGAGGGAAGUGGAAUUUCCGGUGUAGCGGUGAAAUGCGUAGAUAUCGGAAGGAACAUCAGUGGCGAAGGCGGCCAUCUGGACCAGCACUGACACUGAGGCACGAAAGCGUGGGGAGCAAACAGG